rnacentral:rRNA from 1 species
UACGUAGGUGGCAAGCGUUGUCCGGAUUUACUGGGCGUAAAGAGCGCGCAGGCGGUCGUUCAAGUCGCGUGUGAAAGCCCCCGGCUCAACUGGGGAGGGUCACGCGAUACUGAUCGACUCGAAGGCAGGAGAGGGAAGUGGAAUUCCCGGUGUAGUGGUGAAAUUCGUAGAUAUUCGGAAGAACACCAGUGGCGAAGGCGACUCACUGGCCCGAUACUGACGCUGAGGCGCGAAAGCGUGGGGAGCAAACAGG